rfam:Streptomyces sp. G25(2015) STSP_contig000097, whole genome shotgun sequence.
AGCGGGAGAGCGCUUCCCUGACACGGAAGAGGUCACUGGUUCAAUCCCAGUAUCGCGCA